rnacentral:rRNA from 1 species
AGAGUUUGAUCCUGGCUCAGGAUGAACGCUGGCGGCGUGCUUAACACAUGCAAGUCGAACGAGAGAAGAUUAGUGCUUGCGCUGAUCCGAUCGAGUGGCGGACGGGUGAGUAACGCGUGGGUAACCUGCCUCAUACAGGGGAAUAACAGUUGGAAACGGCUGCUAAAACCGCAUAAGCGCACAGUAUCGCAUGAUACAGUGUGAAAAACUCCGGUGGUAUGAGAUGGACCCGCGUCUGAUUAGCUAGUUGGUGAGGUAACGGCCACCAAGGCAACGAUCAGUAGCCGGCCUGAGAGGGUGAACGGCCACAUUGGGACUGAGACACGGCCCAAACUCCUACGGGAGGCCA